rnacentral:rRNA from 1 species
AGAGUUUGAUCAUGGCUCAGAGUGAACGCUGGCGGCGUGGAUUAGGCAUGCAAGUCGCGCGAUUCCGCAAGGAAUAGCGGCAAACGGGUUAGUAACACGUGAGUAAUUUUCCUUAAAGACAGGCAAAGCAUCCUGAAAAGGGUGGUAAUUCCUGAUGUUACAUUGAGCGCUCAUGCGCUUAAUGUUAAAGACCGGGACCGUAAGGCCGGUCGCUUUGAGAUGAGCUCGCGUCCUAUCAGCUAGUUGGUGAGGUAAUGGCUCACCAAGGCUUUUGACGGGUAGCUGGUCUGAGAGGACGAUCAGCAACACUGGGACUGAGACACUGCCCAGACUCCUACGGGAGGCUGCAGUCGAGAAUCUUUAGCAAUGGACGAAAGUCUGACUAUGCGACGCCGCGUGCAGGAUGAAGGUUUUCGGAUCGUAAACUGCUUUUAUCAGGGAAGAAAGAUUGCAAGUGAAUAACUUGCAAGCUGCCGGUACCUGAAGAAUAAGCCACGGCCAACUCCGUGCCAGCAGCCGCGGUAAUACGGAGGUGGCGAGCGUUACUCGGAAUUAUUGGGUGUAAAGGGCAAGUAGGCGGUCUAUUAAGUGAGGGGUGAAAUCUCCCGACUCAAUCGGGAAACUGCCUUUCAAACUGAUAGACUUGAGGCCGGGAGAGGGAAAUGGAAUUCGCGGUGUAAGGGUGAAAUCUGUAGAUAUCGCGAAGAACACCAGAGGCGAAGGCGAUUUCCUGGUCCGGAUCUGACGCUAAAUUGCGAAAGCUAGGGGAGCAAACAGAAUUAGAUACUCUGGUAGUCCUAGCUGUAAACGAUGAGCACUAGGUGUUGGCCCGCAAGGGUUAGCGCCGCAGCUAACGCAUUAAGUGCUCCACCUGGGAACUACGGCCGCAAGGUUAAAACUCAAAGGAAUUGACGG